rnacentral:lncRNA from 1 species
GUAAUUAAAAAAAACUUUAUUAUAUCCUCUGAAAUAUCCUAUGCGGUAAAGGCAAACAAAAUGGAAAAAAAUGAAAAUAAAAAUAAAUAAAUAAACUCUCGCCAAAGUCUUGUUAUUAUUAUUAUUAUUCAAGACUGUUCACACAUUCUAUGCCGCGGCUAUUCGCAAGCAAAAUACAUUUUAAUCAUAUAUAUGUAUAAAUAAAUAAAUAAAAAGCGUUGAUCCACGGGCCAUGCUUGUGGCGUGUUAAACCUUAGAAGUAAAAGAGUCCCAGUCCGGCAACAGCGGUAACAGCACCAACGAAGCUGGAGGCUUUGAGAGAAACGGCACUAGAUGGUGAUGGAGCGAGAGCACCGCCGUCUGGUGUAGGAGGGGAACUGCUAGUGCUAAUGGAGGAGGAGGGAGAUGAGGCGGGAGAUGUUGAAGGUGAUGAAGAAGAAGAGGUCUUGGGCACAUCCGCCGCAUAAGCCCCAACAACGGCAAUGAGAACAAGGGCGACGACGAGCAUAACUUGGCGAGCCAUCUUUAUUUGCUGGGUUAAAUUUAAAAAUAAAGGAAAUAUAGUUUAUUAAUGUGAUUCAAGGGAAAUGCAGUAAUAUAUUCUCUAAUGUAAAUAGAGAAACACUGCAAAACGGUUGAAUGCUUU